GAUGAAGAACGCAGCGAAAUGCGAUAGUAAUGUGAAUUGCAGAAUUCAGUGAAUCAUCGAAUCUUUGAACGCACCUUGCGCCUUUUGGUAUUCCGAAAGGCACACCUGUUUGAGCGUCAUGAAUACCUCAAUCUCCAUCUUUUCUUCGGAUUGAUGGGUGACUUGGAUGUUGAGCCCUGCUGGUAUGCUAUAUCAGCUGGCUUUAAACUUAUUAGCCGGCUCUGUACUGGAUCGGUUUGACUCGACGUGAUAAUAUUAUCGUUGAGGAUGCAUGUCUCAUGCAGCCGGAAAGUAUCAAAGCAGCUUCUAGCUUGCCUUUAGUGCACUUUUACAUUUUAGACCUCAGAUCAGGUGGGACUACCCGCUGAACUUAAGCAUAUCAAUAAGCGGAGGA
rnacentral:misc_RNA from 1 species